GAUGAACGCUGGCGGCGUGCCUAAUACGUGCAAGUCGAACGCUGGAGAUCUAGCUUGCUAGAUCGAAGGAGUGGCGAACGGGUGAGUAAUACAUAAGCAACCUACCCACGAAGACUGGGAUAAUCUCUGGAAACGGGGACUAAUACCGGAUAGGUAAUCGGAAGGCAUCUUCUGGUUAUUAAAGUUUAAAAACACUGGUGGAUGGGCUUAUGGCGCAUUAGUUAGUUGGUGAGGUAACGGCCCACCAAGACGAUGAUGCGUAGCCGGCCUGAGAGGGUGAACGGCCACAUUGGGACUGAGACACGGCCCAGACUCCUACGGGAGGCAGCAGUAGGGAAUUUUAGGCAAUGGGGGCAACCCUGACCGAGCAACGCAGCGUGAGUGAAGACGGCCUUCGGGUUGUAAAGCUCUGUUGUAAGGGAAGAACGGUAGAUAGAGAAUAUCUAAGUGACGGUACCUUACCAGAAAGCCACGGCUAACUACGUG
rnacentral:rRNA from 1 species